rnacentral:rRNA from 1 species
AGUGAACGAGGGAGGGAGGAGGAACACAUGCAAGUCGAACGGCAGCACAGUAAGAGCUUGCUCUUACGGGUGGCGAGUGGCGGACGGGUGAGGAAUACAUCGGAAUCUACUUUUUCGUGGGGGUUAACGUAGGGAAACUUACGCUAAUACCGCAUACGACCUACGGGUGAAAGCAGGGGAUCUUCGGACCUUGCGCGAUUGAAUGAGCCGAUGUCGGAUUAGCUAGUUGGCGGGGUAAAGGCCCAGCAAGUCGUCGAUCCGCAGCUGGUCUGAGAGGAUGGUCGCCCACACGGGAGGUGGGACACGGUCCAUGCGCCUGCGGUAGGCAGCAGUGGGGUAUAGUAGACAGUGGGGGCAAGCCUGAUCCAGCCGUACCGCGUGGGUGAAGAAGGCCGUCGGGUUGUGAUGCCCGUUUGUUGGGAAAGAAAAGCAGCAGGUUAAGACCCCGCGGGUCUGACGGUACCCAAAGAAUAAGCACCGGCUAACUUCGUG